rnacentral:rRNA from 1 species
AUUGAACGCUGGCGGCAUGCUUUACACAUGCAAGUCGAACGGCAGCGCGGGCUUCGGCCUGGCGGCGAGUGGCGGACGGGCGAGUAAUGCAUCGGAACGUGCCCAGUCGUGGGGGAUAGCCUGACGAAAGCCGGAUUAAUACCGCAUACGACCUGAGGUUGAAAGCGGGGGACCGAAAGGCCUCGCGCUUUUGGAGCGGCCGAUGUCGGAUUAGCUAGCUGGUGGGGUAAAGGCUUACCAAGGCGACGAUCCGUAGCCGGCCUGAGAGGGCGACCAGCCACACUGGGACUGAGACACGGUCCAGACUCCUACGGGAGGCAGCAGUGGGGAAUCUUCGGAAAUGGGGGAAAGCCUGACGGAGCAACGCCGCGUGAGUGAUGAAGGUCUUCGGAUUGUAAAACCCUGUUAUUAGGGAAGAAAAAAUGUGUAAGUAACUCCGCGGGGGUUGACGGUACCUAAAAAGAAAGCCACGGCUAACUACGGG